rnacentral:misc_RNA from 1 species
AAGUCGUAACAAGGUAACCGUAGGUGAACCUGCGGUUGGAUCAUUAAAAAUCUUAACAGCCUCUCACUGGCUUCGAGCAAGAUCUUGCGAAAAGCCGUGAAUGUUGGCACCACAUUUUGUGCACUGUAACGUCUUUGGUGGUUGGGCGGGUCUGUCUUUUUGUGACUUUCUCGUCUGUCAGCUUGGAUUUCUCAUAAUCCCUGCCGUGGACACGCCACCGUUUGUCUUUUCAACUUAUGUUUUCAUGAAUUGUCUGACAAAUUCUUGUAUCAAAAAUAUACAAACAACUUUUGGCAACGGAUCUCUUGGUUCUC